rnacentral:lncRNA from 1 species
UAAACAAUCGCUAAAUGGGAAGAAACCCAUUUUUUUCAUUUUCAGUAAUUUUAAUUUCAGUCAUUUAUUUUACAUAGCCAUUCUAGCUCAUAAUUUCUUUCGUUUACUGUUGGUAACUCGCGACUAGGGGCGUUGUUUUUACAUAAAUUGCAUAACUUUCUCUUUCAAAAAUCAAUGUUUUUGUUUUAGCCUUGGAGAAUUGUUCCAAACAUUGUCAGCA